UAUUCUGCCCCACGGGGAAGGAUGAGAAGCUUCGACUAAGGUUCGACUCGAGCGCAGCGAGAGAACGUUGCCGCAGGCAACGGCCCGAAGGGCGAGGCGCUUUAGCGCCGAGUAAUCCUUCCCCCACCACUG
rnacentral:sRNA from 1 species